AGAUUGAACGCUGGCGGCAUGCUUUACACAUGCAAGUCGAACGGUAACAGGCCGCAAGGUGCUGACGAGUGGCGAACGGGUGAGUAAUGUAUCGGAACGUGCCCAGUCGUGGGGGAUAACGCAGCGAAAGCUACGCUAAUACCGCAUACGAUCUAUGGAUGAAAGCGGGGGACCGUAAGGCCUCGCGCGAUUGGAGCGGCCGAUAUCAGAUUAGGUAGUUGGGUGGGUAAAGGCUCACCAAGCCAACGAUCUGCAGCUGGUCUGAGAGGACGACCAGCCACACUGGGACUGAGACACGGCCCAGACUCCACGGGAGGCAGCAGUGGGGAAUUUUGGACAAUGGGCGCGAAGCCUGAUCCAGCAAUGCCGCGUGCGAGGAAGAGGUCCGUUCGGGUUAGUAAACUGUCGUUUUUAGUACGGUAGCGUAACGGUCCGUAGGUUAACUACCGUGGGACUUAAGUCGACGGUACCGUAAGAAUAAGACACCGGUACUAACGUACGUCG
rnacentral:rRNA from 1 species